ACGAACAUAUCGGCAUAGAGCUCGUACCGAGCAGUCAUUCUGACCACCCACCUGUCUUUUAGCUGCCUGCAGAGGUUGAGACCCAUGUCUGAGACCAGCAAUCCAUCUCCGUGACGGGACCGUGAUGGCGUGCACGAAGCAUCUGGAGCUGAAAAGUGACUAAUAGAAGUGCCCAAAAUCCGAGUGCUGUGGCUUCCCAUUGCAGCGGAGUCGCGAGAGGUUGCUGGACGGUGGCGGGCUCAAGAUUGGAGCUUAUGCGGACGCGCUGGCCGCGGUCGCCGUUAUCGAUGAUUUGGAGCCGAGGCAGAUUCUGGGAUUGUUCCUCGAUAGCAGGAAAGCCGUGGGUUCUGCAGAAAUUGGCUACUUCUGUUGUCAAUCCUACUUGUUCGGAUGUCGUGACCAAGGGCCAAGUAGGUGAGUUGUUCUCGCAAGUGCUGAACGACAUGCCCCUUUUUUACAAAGUCACAUUGAGUUCUCCACCUGCAUCCCAGUUGUUUGGUGGGAUUCCAAACCCUGAUGAGGAGGUCAGGUUGUGGAAAUCAUUUCGGGUUAAACUGGAGUCCGCGAUGACACUGUUCGAAAAGCGCUAUAUUGCCAGUACUUGUUUGAAUUUGGCUGAAGGAUUGUGGACGAAAAAUCGCGAGUAAAAUGAACGACAGGUACCCAACGGAUGCUAUCAGUGCCGGUAAGGAGAUAGCUUUGGUGGAAAAAUAGAUUAGGGAAACCAUGGAUAGUAAGGAUGUUCUGGAAGGCAGUUUGGAUUGGCUAAAGAGCGUUUUCGGGUUGGAGAUUGAAUUACCUUGGAGCAGAAUCCGAGAACUUGUUUUGGAAGCUGAUCUGGAUCUCUGGGAUGAGAUUUUUGAAGAUGCUUUCGUUCAGAGGAUGAAAUCAAUCAUCGACUUGGGAUUUGGAAAUUCGACCAGGGAUGUAAAUAUAGCGGGAUCGAUUCGUACCAUUGAGGAGACACCAGGUGAAAAGACAGAUUUUCGAGCAUAUCUGAGCAGACCUUCUACUGGUGGUGGAGUUUGGUUCAUAGAGCCUAAUGAUCGGAAGACUGUUGCCCUUCCUUCCUCAAAAGCGCAGGCAGAAGAGAGUAGCUUCCAGCCCUGUCUUGGUGCAUAUUUUGUCCUGAAGUUAAUCGGAUAAGAGAUGCAGUAGACAAUUACUGUCACCGAGUUCUUGAGGACCUUCUGCACUUCUUGGAGUCUCCCAAAGCAGCAAUAUGGCUAAAGAAUCUGGCGAAAUAUCCACAAGAUAGGUGCUAUGAGUCUAUGUCUAGCAUAUUAAUGCAACUUGAGGGUCAGGUUGACAGCCUCUGCACUGCACCUGAGAAUGAGAAGAGAGAGAGCCAUACACCAUCUGCUGCCAUAAUUGUGGAAAGAUCUCUCUUCAUUGUGUGUCUUGUUUGCACUCCAGAAUCACUGCAGGCACAUCCCAAAAAUUUUGGGAUCACCAAGGUUCUGGGUAAUUGAAUCAAUUUCAGCAGUUUUCAACAGAUUACGAGGCCUUUUGCGGCAUUCCCGUGGAGCAACUGAUUCUUCUGUCAGUGACAGCCCAAUUCGGCAAUCACCCAUGGGCUCUAGAAGACAUACCUCAUUGGCAAACAGUUGCAGUACUUGGAGCUGAUGAUAUACCAAGUUCAAAAUUCAAAGAUUUUUCUAUUACUACACGAGAUUUAUGUGAAAGAGCUCAUAGCUUGUGGAUAAUAUGGUUGUCAAUGGAGUUGUCAACAAUCCUAUCUCGGGAUCUUGAACAGGAUGAUGGAUUAUCGUCAAUGACUCCUUUGAGGGAUAUAUUCAAGUUCUCAGUCCCUCUUUGUCCAUUAAGUAGGGUUGGAAAGACACGGUAAUCAGGCAAGAGCAGUCUGAUGAUGGCCAGUCUGAGUUGAGAAUGUCACUACCCUUCGUGCCUUCUCUCUACGUCAUCUCCUUUUUAUUUCGAGAAUGUGAAGAAAUUCAUAGAAUUGGAGGUCAUGUGCUUGACAAGUUAUUCUGAAAAAAUUUGCCUUGCAGCUUUUGGAAAAGAAUGUUCAAAUGACUACUUGAAGUCAAGAGUUCCCCCUGGAGUCACGUUCUUGUUUGGGGGUCUCUUAAAACAAGUUUCCUUGACUCUCAACAACUUGUUGAGGGGAGGGAAAGUGAUGUUCAUUGGAUGUGUCUGCCAAAGUCAUCAGUGAAUCACUUGUUGUGACAUUACAAUGGGGUUUGACUAACCUUUUUUCCUUGGAAGCUUCUCGAGAGAGCAUUUUAACCAUUGAUAAUCUUUUAAGGGAAGGGAAAAUUAUGGUCAAAUUAAUGUGCCUCUGUAUGCAAGCAGCAGAGACAAUGAAUCAUCUCCUGCACUGCUCGGGGAUGACCCUUUUCUGGUCUCCAAGAAGUCGGUCCUAGGUUUGCAGUGCUUCAGGCUUUCUAUUUUGAGGAUGAGAUGAAAGCUUUGGACGUUAUUCCUAUUUGUUUGUAAAGAAAGGUGAAAAUUUGAUUCUACUAUCACUCUUGCAAAUUUGUGAUGACUUGGAGGGGGAGAAUCAGGAGAAUCUUUGAUGCAAAGGAAAUGGUAAAUUUGUCGUGCUUGGUUUUUUUGGAACUUUUUAUUUAGAUAUGACAGUUCUUAGAGCCAUUAUGAUGUCUAGAGCUGCUGGAAUCCCUCUCUUGUAACAACCACCAUUUAUGCUCUGUCAGUGAAAUUCUGUUUCCUAAUACUCCAGAUUGCUAGGAAGAUAAUGCUUUGAACUGCUUAACAAUGUAUAAAGAAAAGGAUGCUUGCAUAUCUUUUAGAUGGGGUGGAAGGAAAAAUGAAUUUACAUAUGAGGAGUCUGAAUUACCAUCUGCACUGUUUUUGUUUGAUAUAUGUUUUCCUUCUCUGCUAGACACUCUGUUAUACUCAUGUGCAUGAACUUUUUAUCUGAUUGUCUGUUAUGUUAGCUUUUAUAGUGAAAUUGCGAUUCCUUUUAUUUCUCCAGUGACAGCUGUAUUUUUCAUCGCAGUGUUUCCAUCAGAAUUUCAUGAUUACUAUUGCUUUGUGAAGCUGUAAAGAACCUUUUCAGAUUUAUAGUGGUUCACGUCCUACGAUAUCAUAAAUUCCUCUUACUUUCCCAUAACGGUGACUGUCUUGCAAGCUGUGCCUUUUGGCUUUAGUCAUUUAUGCAGCUCUGUGGAUGGUCCUAAUGUGGCUUUUGUGAUUACUUCAUGUCUAUAGCUUAUUUCAAUCGGGUGUUUGUUUACUGGCUGUUUUUGCUUAUAUAGGUGACUGAUAUAUAUGGAAACUACCUUUCUACUGAAGAAGCUAAUGGAUCUAGUGUCGGAUAAAGGAGCUUUGCAAGUCAUGUUAGAUUUGGAAUUUGUAUACCAUAUUCUUUCCGGAGGUAAUUCCACUAUGGUUGAGGAGUUGUCUAGAAGUUCAAAGCCAAAGUAUUUGUUUAGGCAAGAGGAUCAAAGACAGAAAAAGUCUGCCAUCAGAACACGUAUUGAUCGGCAUACAUAUAUUUAAAAGAAGAAAUCUUAUCUCUAGUACUUAAUUGUUUUGUAGUUUUUCAGUCAUAUAUAUAUAUAUAUAUAUAUAUGUACAUAUACAUUGGACAUUAUUGACUGAUUUUGUCUCUUGGUAUGUGAUAAGAUUAACCUC